GACAGAGGGUGCAAACGUUGUUCGGAAUUACUGGGCGUAAAGCGCGUGUAGGCGGCCCUGCAAGUCGGGUGUGAAAUCCCACGGCUCAACCGUGGAAGUGCACUCGAAACUGCAGGGCUAGAGUCCUGGAGAGGAAGGUGGAAUGCUUGGUGUAGAGGUGAAAUUCGUAGAUAUCAAGCGGAACACCGGUGGCGAAGGCGGCCUUACUGGGACAG
rnacentral:rRNA from 1 species